CGGAAUCUGCCUAUUUGUGGGGGAUAACGUAGGGAAACUUACGCUAAUACCGCAUACGACCUACGGGUGAAAGCGGAGGACCUUCGGGCUUCGCGCAGAUAGAUGAGCCGAUGUCGGAUUAGCUAGUGGGCGGGGUAAAGGCCCACCAAGGCGACGAUCCGUAGCUGGUCUGAGAGGAUGAUCAGCCACACUGGAACUGAGACACGGUCCAGACUCCUACGGGAGGCAGCAGUGGGGAAUAUUGGACAAUGGGCGCAAGCCUGAUCCAGCCAUGCCGCGUGGGUGAAGAAGGCCUUCGGGUUGUAAAGCCCUUUUGUUGGGAAAGAAAAGCAGUCGGUUAAUACCCGAUUGUUCUGACGGUACCCAAAGAAUAAGCACCGGCUAACUUCGUGCCAGCAGCCGCGGUAAUACGAAGGGUGCAAGCGUUACUCGGAAUUACUGGGCGUAAAGCGUGCGUAGGUGGUUUGUUAAGUCUGAUGUGAAAGCCCUGGGCUCAACCUGGGAAUUGCAUUGGAUACUGGCAGGCUAGAGUGCGGUAGAGGGUAGUGGAAUUCCCGGU
rnacentral:rRNA from 1 species